AGGGUAGAGCCAAGAUGCUGUUGGCCAUAAAUAUUUCCAUUAGCCAAUGGAAAUAGUCACGAGGUUUGAUUCAUGGUGGAGUCUUGCCUGUCAUGGUAGGAGAAGUUCCCAGAUACCAGAGAGGGUGGUUUUACGAUUAAAGAACCCCAGAGGUGACAGGAGCAAUCAUAACUUCAACCACUGCUUCUGGAGGACUGUAAAUGUGUUGCUGAAAAUCAUUCCAUGUCUCAGGGAGACAUCUAUUUCACCAAUGAGAACAAAUGAGCAGAACAAGGUGAAUGCAACAGAGAGAGACCUGAAAAUACCAGAAGAGAAAAGCAGGACAAGAACUGUACCACUGCCUCAGACAGCACCAAAUAAUUGUGUAAGAUUGAACUCCAAAAUCCGGAGUGACUUAUACAUGUGCUUUUAUAUA